rnacentral:rRNA from 1 species
UACGUAGGUGGCGAGCGUUGUCCGGAUUUACUGGGCGUAAAGAGCGCGCAGGCGGUCGUACAAGUCGCGUGUGAAAGCCCCCGGCUCAACUGGGGAGGGUCACGCGAUACUGUUCGACUCGAAGGCAGGAGAGGGUAGUGGAAUUCCCGGUGUAGUGGUGAAAUGCGUAGAUAUCGGGAGGAACACCGGUGGCGAAGGCGGGUCUCUGGGCCGAUACUGACGCUGAGGCACGAAGGUCAGGGGAGCAAACGGG